GGCGGCACGCUUAACACAUGCAAGUCGAACGAGAUCUUCGGAUCUAGUGGCAGACGGGUGCGUAACGCGUGGGAACCUGCCCUUUAGUAAGGAAUAACUCAGGGAAACUUGUGCUAAUACCUUAUAAUCCCUUCGGGGGAAAGCUUUAUGCGCUAAUGGAUGGGCCCGCGUUAGAUUAGCUUGUUGGUGAGGUAAUGGCUCACCAAGGCUACGAUCUAUAGCUGGUCUGAGAGGAUGAUCAGCCACACUGGGACUGAGACACGGCCCAGACUCCUACGGGAGGCAGCAGUGGGGAAUAUUGGACAAUGGGGGCAACCCUGAUCCAGCGAUGCCGCGUGAGUGAUGAAGGCCCUAGGGUUGUAAAACUCUUUCGCCAGGGAAGAUAAUGACGGUACCUGGUAAAGAAGAUCCGGCUAACUCCGUGCCAGCAGCCGCGGUAAUACGGAGGGAUCUAGCGUUAUUCGGAAUAACUGGGCGUAAAGCGAGCGUAGGCGGAUUUGUAAGUUGGAGGUGAAAUCCCAGGGCUUAACCCUGGAACUGCCUUCAAAACUACAUUUCUUGAGUUUGGUAGAGGAGAGUGGAAUUCUUAGUGUAGAGGUGAAAUUCGUAGAUAUUAGGAGGAACACCAGUGGCGAAGGCGACUCUCUGGGCCAUACUGACGCUGAGGUUCGAAAGCGUGGGGAGCGAACGGGAUUAGAUACCCCGGUA
rnacentral:rRNA from 1 species